rnacentral:rRNA from 1 species
UACGAAGGGGGCUAGCGUUGCUCGGAAUCACUGGGCGUAAAGCGCACGUAGGCGGCUUUUUAAGUCAGGGGUGAAAUCCUGGAGCUCAACUCCAGAACUGCCUUUGAUACUGAGAAGCUUGAGUCCGGGAGAGGUGAGUGGAACUGCGAGUGUAGAGGUGAAAUUCGUAGAUAUUCGCAAGAACACCAGUGGCGAAGGCGGCUCACUGGCCCGGUACUGACGCUGGGGUGCGAAAGCGUGGGGAGCAAACGGG